GUCUCGGUGGCGCAAUGGUAGCGCGUUGGACUUCUACCCCUAAGAUCGCUUAACUGGUUUUGGUUAACUGAGUCGGUUAUGUGAGAAGAGAGAGAGAUUGCAAAAAUCCAAAGGCUGCGGGUUCGAGCCCCGCCCGAGAUG
rfam:Setosphaeria turcica Et28A unplaced genomic scaffold SETTTscaffold_9, whole genome shotgun sequence.